rnacentral:rRNA from 1 species
AUUGAACGCUGGCGGCAGGCUUAACACAUGCAAGUCGAACGCGUGGCGGACGGGUGAGUAAUUCUUGGGAAUCUGGCUUAUGGAGGGGGAUAACUACGGGAAACUGUAGCUAAUACCGCGUACAAUCGGACGAGCCCAAGUGGGCUUAGGUAGUUGGUGGGGUAAAGGCUCACCAAGCCGACGAUCUCUACCUGGUCUGCGAGGAGGACCAGCCACGCUGGAACUGAGACACGGCCCAGACUCCUACGGGAGGCAGCAGUGGGGAAUAUUGCGCAAUGGGGGCAAUCUUACGCAGCCAUGCCGCGUGAAUGAAGAAGGCCUUCGGGUUGUAAAGUGCUUACGGUAGCGAGGCGUUAACUACAGAAGAAGCACCGGCUAACUCCGUGCCAGCAGCCGGGGUAAUUC